CAGGCGCGUGGCUCUUCUUUGGUUCCUUCCGGAAGCAACGGCCUUCGCGGACCUGUGACCCGGCAGCAGCCCGGGCCCCCGUCGGAGCGAUGUGGAAUUCUUCAUUGGAACAUGUGCUAAGCCCUGGCACUAAGAAUAAGGAGGUGAACAGCCGAAAACAACACUGCAGGAUGGGUCAGGCUGCUGGUGUCGGGGAGUGGCAGUGGACUCAACAGGACCCUCAGGUUUGACCAUCCUCACCUGAUUAUCUUGAGAACAGACCAGCAACAGAAG